rnacentral:rRNA from 1 species
GCGUUAUCCGGAUUUAUUGGGCGUAAAGGGAGCGCAGGCGGUCUUUUAAGUCUGAUGUGAAAGGCUUCGGCUUAACCGGAGUGGUGCAUUGGAAACUGGGAGACUUGAGUACAGAAGAGGGGAGUGGAACUCCAUGUGUAGCGGUGAAAUGCGUAGAUAUAUGGAAGAACACCAGUGGCGAAAGCGGCUCUCUGGUCUGUAACUGACGCUGAGGUUCGAAAGCGUGGGUAUCG